rnacentral:sRNA from 1 species
GAGACGGGGUUUCACGUUGUUGGUCAGGCUGGUCUCCAACUCCUGACCUCAAGUGAUCCACCCACCUCAGCCUCCCAAAGUGCUGGGAUUACAGGCAUGAGCCACCGCCCCGGCCUAUUUCUUCUGUAUUUUAAUCAGAUUUCAAACUUCAUACUGUAUCUUUUUCAAACUCCUGGGUUCAAAUGACCCUCCUGCCUCAGCCUCCCAAGUAGCUGGGACUAUAGGUUUGUGCCACCAUGCCUGGCUUAGAUUUUAAAGGACAAGAUAUUUCAUUUCAUCCUUUGUGAUAAUUUGUCCACACAGUACUUCAUAAAAGGCCUUUCCUCUCCACAAAAAAACUUGUCUUCCUUCCUUCUAAUUAUUAACACUGUGUGCUCCGUGGGGCUCCCAUUAUGUUGUAGGUAAUCAACUAGAAGACUAUAAGGUCCAUGAAGGCAGAGAAAAUGUGCCUGGAACUUAAGUGCUCAUUCACUGGAAUUAUUCACUAAUUUGUAUUUUUAAUAUACUCUCGGAAUUUAUAUAACAUAGCCUGUAUUUCUAGCUGCUGCUACCCCACAAUAAAAUUAUAUAAACUCUGACAUCAAAAACCAGUUUUUCUUUCCUUUCUUGGCCUUGUAAACAGGCAUUUGUCUAAGAGACUGUAUCUGGUACUAACAUAAAUUCCCCACUUCCCCGUUUCUGUUACAGACAUGUCAUGCUGCCCAAGGACAUAGCCAAGCUGGUCCCUAAAACCCAUUUGAUGUCUGAAUCUGAAUGGAGGAAUCUUGGCGUUCAGCAGAGUCAGGGAUGGGUCCAUUAUAUGAUCCAUGAACCAGAACCUCACAUCUUGCUGUUCCGGCGCCCACUACCCAAGAAACCAAAGAAAUGAAGCUGGCAAGCUACUUUUCAGCCUCAGGCUUUACACAGCUGUCCUUACUUCCUAACAUCUUUCUGAUAACAUUAUUAUGUUACCUUCUUGUUUCUCACUUUGAUAUUUAAAAGAUGUUCAAUACACUGUUUGAAUGUGCUGGUAACUGCUUUGCUUCUUGAGUAGAGCCACCACCACCACAGCCCAGCCAGAUGAGUGCUCUGUGGACCCAUAGCCUCAGCUCAGUGUGACCCCAGAAGCCACGAUGUGCUCUGUAUCCAGAACACACCUGGCAGAUGGAGGAAGCAUCUGAGUUUG